AUUGAACGCUGGCGGCGUGCCUAACACAUGCAAGUCGAGCGGUAACAGGUGUAGCAAUACAUGCUGACGAGCGGCGAACGGGUGAGUAAUGCUUCGGAAUCUACCCAAUGGUGGGGAAUAACCAGCCGAAAGGUUGGCUAAUACCGCAUACGUCCCACGGGAGAAAGCAGGGGAUCGCAAGACCUUGCGCCAAUGGAUGAGCCGAAGUCGGAUUAGCUAGUUGGAGGGUAACGGCCUACCAAGGCGACGAUCCGUAGCUGGUCUGAGAGGACGACCAGCCACACUGGGACUGAGACACGGCCCAGACUCCUACGGGAGGCAGCAGUGGGGAAUAUUGGACAAUGGGGGAAACCCUGAUCCAGCGACGCCGCGUGUGUGAAGAAGGCCUGCGGGUUGUAAAGC
rnacentral:rRNA from 1 species